rnacentral:rRNA from 1 species
AGUGAACGCUGGCGGUAGGCCUAACACAUGCAAGUCGAACGGCAGCACAGUAAGAGCUUGCUCUUACGGGUGGCGAGUGGCGGACGGGUGAGGAAUACAUCGGAAUCUACUUUUUCGUGGGGGAUAACGUAGGGAAACUUACGCUAAUACCGCAUACGACCUACGGGUGAAAGCAGGGGAUCUUCGGACCUUGCGCGAUUGAAUGAGCCGAUGUCGGAUUAGCCAGUUGGCGGGGUAAAGGCCCACCAAGGCGACGAUCCGUAGCUGGUCUGAGAGGAUGAUCAGCCACACUGGAACUGAGACACGGUCCAGACUCCUACGGGAGGCAGCAGUGGGGAAUAUUGGACAAUGGGCGCAAGCCUGAUCCAGCCAUACCGCGUGGGUGAAGAAGGCCUUCGGGUUGUAAAGCCCUUUUGUUGGGAAAGAAAAGCAGCAGGUUAAUACCCCGCUGUCCUGACGGUACCCAAAGAAUAAGCACCGGCUAACUUCGUG